UACAGGGGGGGCAAGCGUUGUUCGGAAUUACUGGGCGUAAAGGGUUCGUAGGUGGCCAACUAAGUCAGACGUGAAAUCCCUCAGCUUAACUGGGGAACUGCGUCUGAUACUGGAUGGCUUGAGUGUAGGAGAGGAAUGCGGAAUUCCAGGUGUAGCGGUGAAAUGCGUAGAUAUCUGGAGGAACACCGGUGGCGAAGGCGGCAUCCUGGACCAAUAUUGACGCUGAGGAGCGAAAGCCAGGGGAGCAAACGGG
rnacentral:rRNA from 1 species